UAUAACAUCUGCACAUCGUCUUGGCAUGGACUCAAUUAAUUUCAUAAUAUAGUCAUUGCUUACUUCUUUCCAAGCCUUUUCCACUAUUUCAAAGAGAAUAUUUGUAUUAGAGCAUGUGCCUGAUUUUGGUGUCAAUGUAAUGCCAUAAAUUCUCUAUAGGGUUUAGGUCUGGCGAUUGAGAUGGCCAGACCAUUACAUUUAUUUUUUCAUCGGAUAGCCACCUCUUAAAAAAUUGAGAAGCAUGUUUUGGAUCAUUGUCAUGCUGAAAUAUGGCUGUUACUGGCAUGACUUCAUCCAUAUAUGGCACUAAAUGUGUUUGCAGAAUGUCUUUGUACAUGAAACAAUCCAUUUUGCCCACUAUUUUUACUAUGGGUCCCAUGCCACAAGCCGAGAAACAUCCCCAUACAAGAAUAUUUCCCCCUCCAUGUUUAACUGUGGGGCAAAUGUACUUUUUGUUUAAUCUUUGUGCACUGGGGCUUCUGACGUACAUCACUCCAGUCCUGAAUAAAUUAUAUUUAGAUUCAUCACUAAACACUACUUUCUUCCAAUCAGCUACAGACCAGUGGACAUGAGAUUGGGCAAAGUGAAAACGAGCCUUGACGUUCUUCUUUGAGAGUAACGGUUUUUUGGCAGGGCGACGAGCAGUGUUCUGUAUCUGGUGUGGCUGCCAGAACUGAGGUGUUUUGGUAUCUUGCACUACCCACAUUCACUUUAACAAGAAAAUCCCUGUUCUCCUGUGAACAUCUGUAAAACCUCUUCCCAAUUACACAAAAGCUCACAUUAGAAAAUGAUGAAUAGAGCUCAUGUUCAUUGGAUGAAUAAUUUGAGAUCUUAAAUUAGAUAUUAUGUACUUUUAGUGUUUAAUUUUGUCAUGUUUUUUAUUGAUUUAUAUACUGUAUGUUCUUGACUGUUCUAUUAAUGGAAUUGUAUGUACUUUAAAAAUGUUGAUUCUUUUUAUAGCAUAUUAUAUUUAACACGCAUA